rnacentral:misc_RNA from 1 species
UAUACAUAUAUAUAUAUAUAAAAUUUCGGAAAUCAAUGGGUGCUCGAGCACCCGCGUCUGGCUUACUGGGUCCGCCCCUGCUUCAUAGCUAUAGCCUCUCUCUUUGAAGCAAUAGACAAUAAAAGGUGCUUUAAUUAUAUUAAGCUACUACACCUUGUACUUGUACAGUUGUACAAAAUAUCAUUUCAUAAAAAUCUGGAAUUUUUGACCAAAAUAAGUCAUUUUAUAAAUCAAUUCAUCAAAAUAGUAUGUUUUUAAUUUUGUUUACAAAACUAGUAUAAACGUGGUUCACAGUAACGUUUUAUACUUUAUUUAUUUUUUAAAAAAAUUAUUUUAUUUUAAAAAAUUUAAUGAGAAAAGGGACGGUCUGCUAACGACGUUAAAUAAUAAUACGUAACUGGAAAUUACGUUUUAACUCUAAUACGUUAUUGGGAAUAACGUUUUAAGCAUAUAUAAUUUAAUAAUAAUACGCAACUGGAAAUUACGUUUUAACUCUAAUACGUUAUUGGGAAUAACGUUUUAAGCAUAUAUAAUUUAAUAAUAAUACGC